rnacentral:tRNA from 1 species
GGGCAAUUAGCUCAGUGGUAGAGCAUCUCGUUUACACCGAGGAGGUCGAUAGUUCAAGUCUGUCAUUGCCCA